rnacentral:rRNA from 1 species
GGUGAUGAUACGUAGCCGAACUGAGAGGUUGAUCGGCCACAUUGGGACUGAGACACGGCCCAAACUCCUACGGGAGGCAGCAGUAGGGAAUCUUCCACAAUGGACGAAAGUCUGAUGGAGCAACGCCGCGUGAAUGAAGAAGGCCUUCGGGUCGUAAAAUUCUGUUGUCAGAGAAGAACGUGCGUGAGAGUAACUGUUCACGUAUUGACGGUAUCUGACCAGAAAGCCACGGCUAACUACGUGCCAGCAGCCGCGGUAAUACGUAGGUGGCAAGCGUUGUCCGGAUUUAUUGGGCGUAAAGGGAACGCAGGCGGUCUUUUAAGUCUGAUGUGAAAGCCUUCGGCUUAACCGAAGUAGUGCAUUGGAAACUGGAAGACUUGAGUGCAGAAGAGGAGAGUGGAACUCCAUGUGUAGCGGUGAAAUGCGUAGAUAUAUGGAAGAACACCAGUGGCGAAAGCGGCUCUCUGGUCUGUAACUGACGCUGAGGUUCGAAAGCGUGGGUAGCAAACAGGAUUAGAUACCCUGGUAGUCCACGCCGUAAACGAUGAGUGCUAAGUGUUGGAGGGUUUCCGCCCUUCAGUGCUGCAGCUAACGCAUUAAGCACUCCGCCUGGGGAGUACGGUCGCAAAACUGAAACUCAAAGGAAUUGACG